UGGGGAAUUUUGGACAAUGGGCGCAAGCCUGAUCCAGCCAUGCCGCGUGUCUGAAGAAGGCCUUCGGGUUGUAAAGGACUUUUGUCAGGGAAGAAAAGGGCGGGGUUAAUACCCCUGUCUGAUGACGGUACCUGAAGAAUAAGCACCGGCUAACUACGUGCCAGCAGCCGCGGUAAUACGUAGGGUGCGAGCGUUAAUCGGAAUUACUGGGCGUAAAGCGGGCGCAGACGGUUACUUAAGCAGGAUGUGAAAUCCCCGGGCUCAACCUGGGAACUGCGUUCUGAACUGGGUGACUAGAGUGUGUCAGAGGGAGGUAGAAUUCCACGUGUAGCAGUGAAAUGCGUAGAGAUGUGGAGGAAUACCGAUGGCGAAGGCAGCCUCCUGGGAUAACACUGACGUUCAUGCCCGAAAGCGUGGGUAGCAAACAGG
rnacentral:rRNA from 3 species